rnacentral:rRNA from 1 species
CAGCCGCCGCGGUAAUACCAACCCCGCGAGUGGUCGGGACGUUUAUUGGGCCUAAAGCGUCCGUAGCCGGCCCGGUAAGUCCCUCCUUAAAGCCCACGGCUCAACCGUGGGAGCGGAGGGAUACUGCCGGGCUAGGGGGCGGGAGAGGCCGGGGGUACUCCUGGGGUAGGGGCGAAAUCCUAUAAUCCCAGGAGGAUCACCAGUGGCGAAGGCGCCCGGCUAGCACGCGCCCGACGGUGAGGGACGAAAGCUGGGGGAGCAAAGGGGAUUAGAUACCCGGGUAGUCCUGGCGGUAAAGGAUGCGGGCUAGGUGUCGGGUGAGCUUCGAGCUCGCCCGGUGCCGUAGGGAAGCCGUUAAGCCCGCCGCCUGGGGAGUACGGCCGCAAGGCUGAAACUUAAAGGAAUUGGCGGG